GGGUGCUAACGUCCGUCGUGAAGAGGGAAACAACCCAGACCGCCAGCUAAGGUCCCAAAGUCAUGGUUAAGUGGGAAACGAUGUGGGAAGGCCCAGACAGCCAGGAUGUUGGCUUAGAAGCAGCCAUCAUUUAAAGAAAGCGUAAUAGCUCACUGGUCGAGUCGGCCUGCGCGGAAGAUGUAACGGGGCUAAACCAUGCACCGAAGCUGCGGCAGCGACACUGUGUGUUGUUGGGUAGGGGAGCGUUCUGUAAGCCUGUGAAGGUGUGCUGUGAGGCAUGCUGGAGGUAUCAGAAGUGCGAAUGCUGACAUAAGUAACGAUAAAGCGGGUGAAAAGCCCGCUCGCCGGAAGACCAAGGGUUCCUGUCCAACGUUAAUCGGGGCAGGGUGAGUCGACCCCUAAGGCGAGGCCGAAAGGCGUAGUCGAUGGGAAACAGGUUAAUAUUCCUGUACUUGGUGUUACUGCGAAGGGGGGACGGAGAAGGCUAUGUUGGCCGGGCGACGGUUGUCCCGGUUUAAGCGUGUAGGCUGGUUUUCCAGGCAAAUCCGGAAAAUCAAGGCUGAGGCGUGAUGACGAGGCACUACGGUGCUGAAGCAACAAAUGCCCUGCUUCCAGGAAAAGCCUCUAAGCAUCAGGUAACAUCAAAUCGUACCCCAAACCGACACAGGUGGUCAGGUAGAGAAUACCAAGGCGCUUGAGAGAACUCGGGUGAAGGAACUAGGCAAAAUGGUGCCGUAACUUCGGGAGAAGGCACGCUGAUAUGUAGGUGAAGUCCCUCGCGGAUGGAGCUGAAAUCAGUCGAAGAUACCAGCUGGCUGCAACUGUUUAUUAAAAACACAGCACUGUGCAAACACGAAAGUGGACGUAUACGGUGUGACGCCUGCCCGGUGCCGGAAGGUUAAUUGAUGGGGUCAGCGCAAGCGAAGCUCUUGAUCGAAGCCCCGGUAAACGGCGGCCGUAACUAUAACGGUCCUAAGGUAGCGAAAUUCCUUGUCGGGUAAGUUCCGACCUGCACGAAUGGCGUAAUGAUGGCCAGGCUGUCUCCACCCGAGACUCAGUGAAAUUGAACUCGCUGUGAAGAUGCAGUGUACCCGCGGCAAGACGGAAAGACCCCGUGAACCUUUACUAUAGCUUGACACUGAACAUUGAGCCUUGAUGUGUAGGAUAGGUGGGAGGCUUUGAAGUGUGGACGCCAGUCUGCAUGGAGCCGACCUUGAAAUACCACCCUUUAAUGUUUGAUGUUCUAACGUGGACCCGUGAUCCGGGUUGCGGACAGUGUCUGGUGGGUAGUUUGACUGGGGCGGUCUCCUCCUAAAGAGUAACGGAGGAGCACGAAGGUUGGCUAAUCCUGGUCGGACAUCAGGAGGUUAGUGCAAUGGCAUAAGCCAGCUUGACUGCGAGCGUGACGGCGCGAGCAGGUGCGAAAGCAGGUCAUAGUGAUCCGGUGGUUCUGAAUGGAAGGGCCAUCGCUCAACGGAUAAAAGGUACUCCGGGGAUAACAGGCUGAUACCGCCCAAGAGUUCAUAUCGACGGCGGUGUUUGGCACCUCGAUGUCGGCUCAUCACAUCCUGGGGCUGAAGUAGGUCCCAAGGGUAUGGCUGUUCGCCAUUUAAAGUGGUACGCGAGCUGGGUUUAGAACGUCGUGAGACAGUUCGGUCCCUAUCUGCCGUGGGCGCUGGAGAACUGAGGGGGGCUGCUCCUAGUACGAGAGGACCGGAGUGGACGCAUCACUGGUGUUCGGGUUGUCAUGCCAAUGGCACUGCCCGGUAGCUAAAUGCGGAAGAGAUAAGUGCUGAAAGCAUCUAAGCACGAAACUUGCCCCGAGAUGAGUUCUCCCUGACCCUUUAAGGGUCCUGAAGGAACGUUGAAGACGACGACGUUGAUAGGCCGGGUGUGUAAGCGCAGCGAUGCGUUGAGCUAACCGGUACUAAUGAACCGUGAGGCUUAACCUU
rnacentral:rRNA from 1 species